ACGGAGGAAAAGAAACCAACAGGGAUUGCCUCAGUAACGGCGAGUGAAGCGGCAAAAGCUCAAAUUUGAAAUCCCCCGGGAAUUGUAAUUUGAAGAGAUUUGGGUCCGGCCGGCGGGGGUUAAGUCCACUGGAAAGUGGCGCCACAGAGGGUGACAGCCCCGUGAACCCCUUCAACGCCCUCAUCCCAGAUCUCCAAGAGUCGAGUUGUUUGGGAAUGCAGCUCUAAGUGGGUGGUAAAUUCCAUCUAAAGCUAAAUACCGGCGAGAGACCGAUAGCGAACAAGUACAGUGAUGGAAAGAUGAAAAGCACUUUGAAAAGAGAGUGAAAAAGUACGUGAAAUUGUUGAAAGGGAAGGGCUUGCAAGCAGACACUUAACUGGGCCAGCAUCGGGGCGGCGGGGAGCAAAACCACCGGGGAAUGUACCUUUCGAGGAUUAUAACCCCGGCCCUUACUCCCAUGCCGCCCCGAGGCCUGCAAUCUAAGGAUGCUGGCGUAAUGGUUGCAAGUCGCCCGUCUG
rnacentral:rRNA from 2 species